rnacentral:rRNA from 1 species
AUUGAACGCUGGCGGCAUGCCUAACACAUGCAAGUCGAACGGUAACAGGAAGAAGCUUGCUUCUUUGCUGACGAGUGGCGGACGGGUGAGUAAUGUCUGGGAAACUGCCUGAUGGAGGGGGAUAACUACUGGAAACGGUAGCCAAUACCGCAUAACGUCGCAAGACCAAAGAGGGGGACCUUCGGGCCUCUUGCCAUCGGAUGUGCCCAGAUGGGAUUAGCUAGUAGGUGGGGUAACGGCUCACCUAGGCGACGAUCCCUAGCUGGUCUGAGAGGAUGACCAGCCACACUGGAACUGAGACACGGUCCAGACUCCUACGGGAGGCAGCAGUGGGGAAUAUUGCACAAUGGGCGAAAGCCUGAUGCAGCCAUGCCGCGUGUAUGAAGAAGGCCUUCGGGUUGUAAAGUACUUUUAGCGGGGAGGAAGGGAGUAAAGUUAAUACCUUUGCUUAUUGACGUUACCCGAAGAAGAAGCACCGGCUAACUCCGUG